rnacentral:rRNA from 1 species
AGUGAACGCUGGCGGUAGGCCUAACACAUGCAAGUCGAACGGCAGCACAGUAAGAGCUUGCUCUUACGGGUGGCGGGUGGCGGACGGGUGAGGAAUACAUCGGAAUCUACUUUUUCUUGGGGGAUAACGUAGGGAAACUUACGCUAAUACCGCAUACGACCUACGGGUGAAAGCAGUGGAUCUUCGGACCUUGCGCGAUUGAAUGAGCCGAUGUCGGAUUAGCUAGUUGGCGGGGUAAAGGCCCACCAAGGCGACGAUCCGUAGCUGGUCUGAGAGGAUGAUCAGCCACACUGGAACUGAGACACGGUCCAGACUCCUACGGGAGGCAGCAGUGGGGAAUAUUCGACAAUGGGCGCAAGCCUGAUCCAGCCAUACCGCGUGGGUGAAGAAGGCCUUCGGGUUGUAAAGCCCUUUUGUUGGGAAAGAAAAGCAGCAGGUUAAUACCCCGCUGUUCUGACGGUACCCAAAGAAUAAGCACCGGCUAACUUCGUG